AGGCUGCCAAGGAGAGAGACCAGGUCUCUUCGGCAGUCACCUGGGUCAUGUGUGCAGAGGGUCUGUGAGUGGCUUUGUCAUCCCUGAGAACGUUUGCAGUGACCCUAUCUGUGUGCCCCUCUGCAUGUGUUUCCACGUGUGUCUGGACGACAGCCCCAAGCGUGUGGACGGAAGGCAGCACUUCACAAACAGCCAGACAGAGCACCACCUCUUUAGUGCAGCAGUUUCUUUUUAUCUACCAUCUCCAACCGCCGAGGAGCCGAAAUGAAGCACUUUGGAAUUAUCAAUUUCAGCCACAUUUGCAUAACAAAGCCCCCGAGGAAGAGGCAUGAUAAAUGUGAAGGACCCCUCUUGGAAAAAGAACUGUCAACCGCGCCCCGAAAGAUUCUCCGACCGAGCGCAUUCUCCCGGACUGCAGUCAGCGAAAAUAAAAUGAAAGCAUUAAAGAAAGUCAUUCUCUCAGAGAGAAAAAUCUCCCCCUCUGCACAGAGAGAACUGGAUGAAAUGACAUUAUGCAUAUGAAAAUGUCCAGAAAGAUGUUUGAUUUAUGUAUGCAUUAGAUGCAAAUUCCAUUACGGUGCGCGCGCUGUUGUGUGAUUUGGCGCUGAACACAUCAGCGCCCUGAUCAGAUCUGAUCUCAUUAAUUCCGACAAGGAGAGAGAGAGGGAAUUGAGAAGAAUUUAUGGCCUGGACACUUGAAAGAAGUAAAUUGUAAUUCUGUUUAAAGCUGUAGCGAACCUUUUAAACACCUUUUAUUAUAGGAAAGAAGCACUCACUUUUAUAACACUGUAAGGACUUACUUAAUCCUGCACUGGGGGCUCUGGUCUUCAUUUAGGGGGAAAAAAAUCUAUGACCUUGUUUAGGGGAAAGAAAAAAGAAGAGGAAAAUGUCUGUCUUGAACCAAAAUUCAGGGAAAACAUCACAAUAGUAGGAUCAAAGGAGAAAUGAUGCCUCUGUGAAUAAUUGGGUAAACGUUUGGUUUUAAGGAUCGUGUGUUUUGUUUUGUUUUGUUUUAGUGGCUUAAUAUUUUCAAAUAAAAUACCAAACAGUGAAUGAAUAUUUUUAUGGGACUGGGUAACAGAUUUACAUUUUAAAAUGUCUUUAUUUGCAUUACAGAUAAAAGCGCUACUAACAAUAUGUGACGGGAGAUGCAAUGGGAAAAGUUAUCUUUUGAAACCUCUACUUAUUAGGACUGCUUUGAAAGCACAGUCAAUUUCAGACCAAUAUGAAUAAUAAUGAUAAUAAUAAUAACCCC
rnacentral:lncRNA from 10 species